rnacentral:hammerhead_ribozyme from 1 species
AUCCGACUGAUGAGUCUCAAAUAGAACGAAACGUGUGUCAUGGAU